GGAGGCGGCGGCUCAGUCAGUCCCUGCAAGUAUCCAACGAUACCAGGAGAGGAGGUGGGGGUGGGGGGCGCCUUACAAAUAGCUAGAGCGCAAAAAACAUCUGGGUGGAGACUAAAUUGGGAAAGACCCAGGUCUACUUGUUGACUCUCCCUGAUUUGAGCCUGGCCUGAGCUGAUGGAAAGAAAACCCUUUUCUUUAGGGCGGCGGGCGGCUGAAGCGCUCUUUAUUAUCAGUGUGCUGACAAUAUUUCUGUGCAUCAAGAACCAAAGUAUGAAAGAAGCUAAAGUGUCUAAAGUUUUGAGAAAAAUCAGGAUGCAGUGACAAUACAUUGACACACAUACACCCCAACCUCAAACUCAGCAAGAGAUCCUCUAUCCAAACCAAUGCAACUGAAAAUGUACUAACAACUGAAAGGCAGCCACUGCUAAGGGAAUGCUUCUGCAAAAGCACCUUAGGAUACAGCCUCAACGCAGUGUUUACAGUUGCAAUCGUAUCAUGUCAAAAACUAGAAUUUGAGGGAAGCGAGAGGAGGGGAUCAAAGAACCAGUUUGAAAAGAAAUAUACCAUUCUGGACUUUUUUUUAAAAGUGGAAAUAAGAUAGUGCUGUCUCAGAGCCUAUUCACUCUGCAAUAUCUAUCAACACAAGCCAACACAAGAAUGAGAAGUCAGAACUUGGGAAUGCAAACUCUUCCCACCUCCUAAUUUGUUUUCUUCUAUGCUCUCCCUUUACACAAUGUGAUUUAUCUUGGGGCAGAAGUUAAGCCCCACCCCCUCAGCUAAGAACACACACACCAAAAUGCUUCAGAAAAUGGGGAAAGAAGAUCUGGAAACAAAUCUCAACCUCCAAGCAUUUGAGGGAUUUAGCAGAAGUGCUCUUAUCCCUGGACCUUGGGGCUGAAGUCCAGGGCCUCCACACACCCUGCCCCCACCAAUCCUCUUUAGUCUCUCCUGGGUGGUGUGGUUUGUGCCCUCAAGAACUUGCGUGUUAAAAAGUGAUGCUUAACUUGCAAUGGGGGUGGGGGCCUCCAAAGCCAUUUAGGUCCAGGCUCCAAAAUUACCUAUGUGCACUUCUAGGAAUGAGAACAACAGUUAGGCAGGACUCAUUGAAGUGGAGAGGAGGGGCAGAAGAGGGGGACAGGCAUGAGAACCAGCCAUCAGAUGAGAAAGGGGGCACAAAUAAAAAACACCACUCUAGGAACAGGAUACAGAUGCAGAGAGAGAAUAGAGAAGGGAAUAAGAAGGAAGCAGUGCCCCUUUUUGUUUCCUACAUGUUAUCUUACAUGAGCCAAACUGUUCAGAGUUUUAAAACAGCUCUCCUACAAUAAAUUAUCCUACUUUCUCUCUGAGUUGCCGUUAGUGGGAACUUU